rnacentral:rRNA from 1 species
UACAGAGGGUGCAAACGUUGUUCGGAAUUACUGGGCGUAAAGCGCGUGCAGGCGGCCUUGCAAGUCGGACGUGAAAUCCCACGGCUCAACCGUGGAAGGGCAUUCGAAACUGCGAGGCUGGAGUCCUGGAGAGGAAAGUGGAAUACUCGGUGUAGAGGUGAAAUUCGUAGAUAUCGAGUGGAACACUGGUGGCGAAGGCGGCUUUCUGGACAGGUACUGACGCUGAGACGCGAAAGCGUGGGGAGCAAACAGG